UGGAAUCGCUAGUAAUCGCAAAUCAGAAUGUUGCGGUGAAUACGUUCCCGGGCCUUGUACACACCGCCCGUCACACCAUGGGAGUUGGAAGCGCCCGAAGUCGAUGACCCAACCGCAAGGAGGGAGUCGCCGAAGGUGAAGCCAGUGACUGGGGUGAAGUCGUAACAAGGUAUC
rnacentral:rRNA from 1 species